CUACGGGAGGCACCAGUGGGGAAUAUUGGACAAUGGGGGAAACCCUGAUCCAGCAAUGCCGCGUGUGUGAAGAAGGCCUGCGGGUUGUAAAGCACUUUCGGUUGGGAGGACUGCUUCUAGCACUAAUAUUGUUGGAAGUUGACGUUACCUUCAGAAGACGCACCGGCUAACUCCGUGCCAGCAGCCGCGGUAAUACGGAGGGUGCAAGCGUGAAUCGGAAUUACUGGGCGUAAAGCGCGCGUAGGCGGCUAGAUCAGUCGGGUGUGAAAGCCCCGGGCUUAACCUGGGAACUGCAUCCGAUACUGUCUAGCUUGAGUACAGGAGAGGAGAGUGGAAUUCCACAUGUAGCGGUGAAAUGCGUAGAUAUGUGGAGGAACACCAAUGGCGAAGGCAGCUCUCUGGCCUGAUACUGACGCUGAGGUGCGAAAGCGUGGGGAGCAAACAGGAUUAGAUACCCCGGUAGUC
rnacentral:rRNA from 1 species